rnacentral:misc_RNA from 1 species
GAUGAAGAACGUAGCAAAAUGCGAUACUUGGUGUGAAUUGCAGAAUCCCGUGAACCAUCGAGUUUUUGAACGCAAGUUGCGCCCGAAGCCUUUUGGCCGGGGGCACGUCUGCCUGGGCGUCACGCAUCGCGUCGCCCCCCACAAUUCUCCGUAAAGGGAACAUGUGUUUUGGGGGCGGAUAUUGGUCUCCCGUGCUCAUGGCGUGGUUGGCCGAAAUAGGAGUCCUUUCGAUGGACGCACGAACUAGUGGUGGUCGUAAAAACCCUCGUCUUUUGUUUCGUGCUGUUGGUCGCAAGGUAAACUCUUUAAAAACCCCAAUGUGUCGUCUCUUGACGACGCUUCGACCGCGACCCCAGGUCAGGCGGGACUACCCGCUGAGUUUAAGCAUAUCAAUAAGCGGAGGA